rnacentral:tRNA from 1 species
UUACUGGUAGGUUAUUUAAACUGACAAAUUGUGGUUUUGUUGAUUACAUCUAUUUUUUUUUAUUGUA